UACGGAGGGUGCAAGCGUUGUUCGGAUUUAUUGGGCGUAAAGGGUGUGUAGGCGGUUCGUUAAGUCUGAUGUGAAAGCCCCGGGCUCAACCCGGGAAGUGCAUUGGAAACUGGCGAACUUGAGUACGGGAGAGGGCAGUGGAAUUCCUAGUGUAGGAGUGAAAUCCGUAGAUAUUAGGAGGAACACCGGUGGCGAAGGCGGCUGCCUGGACCGAUACUGACGCUGAGACGCGAAAGCGUGGGGAGCAAACAGG
rnacentral:rRNA from 1 species